CAGUCGCCGCGGGAAUACGAAGGGUGCAAGCGUUAAUCGUAAUUACUGGGCGUAAAGCGUGCGUAGGCGGUUUGUUAAGUCUGCUGUGAAAUCCCCGGGCUCAACCUGGGAAUGGCAGUGGAUACUGGCAAGCUAGAGUGUGUCAGAGGAUGGUGGAAUUCCCGGUGUAGCGGUGAAAUGCGUAGAGAUCGGGAGGAACAUCAGUGGCGAAGGCGGCCAUCUGGGACAACACUGACGCUGAGGCACGAAAGCGUGGGGAGCAAACAGGAUUAGAUACCCCAGUAGUCCCUGUCUCUUAUAC
rnacentral:rRNA from 1 species